GGGUGUGUAGCUCAACGGCAGAGCGCGGGCCUCAUAAGCCCGUGGCGCUGGUUCGACUCCAGCCAUCACCCA
rnacentral:tRNA from 1 species